UCCGGUUUGUCACCGGCAGUCCCACUAAAGUGCCCAACUUAAUGAUGGCAACUAAUGGCAAGGGUUGCGCUCGUUGCGGGACUUAACCCAACAUCUCACGACACGAGCUGACGACAGCCAUGCAGCACCUGUGUCCAGGUUCCCUAAGGCACUCCACAAUCUCUUGCAGAUCCCUGGCAUGUCAAAGGCAGGUAAGGUUCUUCGCGUUGCAUCGAAUUAAUCCACAUCAUCCACCGCUUGUGCGGGCCCCCGUCAAUUCCUUUGAGUUUUGAUCUUGCGACCGUACUCCCCAGGCGGUCUACUUCUCGCGUUAGCUGCGUUACUAAGGAAUUUAUCCCCCAACAACUAGUAGACAUCGUUUAGGGCGUGGACUAC
rnacentral:misc_RNA from 1 species